rnacentral:rRNA from 1 species
AGCAGUAUCCUGAGUACGGCGGGACACGUGAAAUCCCGUCGGAAUCUGGGAGGACCAUCUCCCAACCCUAAAUACUCCCUAGUGACCGAUAGUGAACCAGUACCGUGAGGGAAAGGUGAAAAGCACCCCGGGAGGGGAGUGAAAUAGAACCUAAAACCGUGUGCCUACAACAAGUUCGAGCCCGUUAAUGGGUGAGAGCGUGCCUUUUGUAGAAUGAACCGGCGAGUUACGUUAUGAUGCGAGGUUAAGUUGAAGAGACGGAGCCGUAGGGAAACCGAGUCUGAAUAGGGCGCCUUAGUAUCAUGACGUAGACCCGAAACCAUGUGACCUACCCAUGAGCAGGUUGAAGGUGCGGUAAGACGCACUGGAGGACCGAACCAGGGCACGUUGAAAAGUGCUUGGAUGACUUGUGGGUAGCGGAGAAAUUCCAAACGAACUUGGAGAUAGCUGGUUCUCUCCGAAAUAGCUUUAGGGCUAGCGUCGACAUUAGAGAUUCUUGGAGGUAGAGCACUGUUUGGGUGAGGGGUCCAUCCCGGAUUACCAAUCUCAGAUAAACUCCGAAUGCCAAUGAAUUAUGGUCGGCAGUCAGACUGCGAGUGCUAAGAUCCGUAGUCGAAAGGGAAACAGCCCAGACCACCAGCUAAGGUCCCAAAAUAAUUGUUAAGUGGAAAAGGAUGUGGGGUUGCACAGACAACUAGGAUGUUAGCUUAGAAGCAGCUAUUCAUUCAAAGAGUGCGUAAUAGCUCACUAGUCGAGUGACCCUGCGCCGAAAAUGUACCGGGGCUAAAACAAUUUACCGAAGCUGUGGAUACCUUUAUAGGUAUGGUAGGAGAGCGUUCUAUGUGUGAUGAAGGUAUACCGUGAGGAGUGCUGGAACGCAUAGAAGUGAGAAUGCCGGUAUGAGUAGCGAAAGACAGGUGAGAAUCCUGUCCACCGUAAGACUAAGGUUUCCAGGGGAAGGCUCGUCCGCCCUGGGUUAGUCGGGACCUAAGGAGAGACCGAAAGGUGUAUCCGAUGGACAACAGGUUGAUAUUCCUGUACUAGAGUAUGUAGUGAUGGAGGGACGCAGUAGGCUAACUAAAGCAGACGAUUGGAAGAGUCUGUCUAAGCAGUGAGGUGUGAAUUGAGUCAAAUGCUUAAUUCUAUAACAUUGAGCUGUGAUGGGGAGCGAAGUUUAGUAGCGAAGUUAGUGACGUCACACUGCCAAGAAAAGCUUCUAGCGUUUAAACAUACUCUACCCGUACCGCAAACCGACACAGGUAGUCGAGGCGAGUAGCCUCAGGUGAGCGAGAGAACUCUCGUUAAGGAACUCGGCAAAAUGACCCCGUAACUUCGGGAGAAGGGGUGCUGACUUUAAGUCAGCCGCAGUGAAUAGGCCCAAGCAACUGUUUAUCAAAAACACAGCUCUCUGCUAAAUCGUAAGAUGAUGUAUAGGGGGUGACGCCUGCCCGGUGCUGGAAGGUUAAGAGGAGUGCUUAGCGUAAGCGAAGGUAUGAAUUGAAGCCCCAGUAAACGGCGGCCGUAACUAUAACGGUCCUAAGGUAGCGAAAUUCCUUGUCGGGUAAGUUCCGACCCGCACGAAAGGCGUAAUGAUUUGGGCACUGUCUCAACGAGAGACUCGGUGAAAUUUUAGUACCUGUGAAGAUGCAGGUUACCCGCGACAGGACGGAAAGACCCCAUGGAGCUUUACUGCAGUUUGAUAUUGAGUGUCUGUACCACAUGUACAGGAUAGGUAGGAGUCUAAGAGAUCGGGACGCCAGUUUCGAAGGAGACGCUGUUGGGAUACUACCCUUGUGUUAUGGCCACUCUAACCCAGAUAGGUGAUCCCUAUCGGAGACAGUGUCUGACGGGCAGUUUGACUGGGGCGGUCGCCUCCUAAAAGGUAACGGAGGCGCCCAAAGGUUCCCUCAGAAUGGUUGGAAAUCAUUCGCAGAGUGUAAAGGUAUAAGGGAGCUUGACUGCGAGAGCUACAACUCGAGCAGGGACGAAAGUCGGGCUUAGUGAUCCGGUGGUUCCGUAUGGAAGGGCCAUCGCUCAACGGAUAAAAGCUACCCUGGGGAUAACAGGCUUAUCUCCCCCAAGAGUUCACAUCGACGGGGAGGUUUGGCACCUCGAUGUCGGCUCGUCGCAUCCUGGGGCUGUAGUCGGUCCCAAGGGUUGGGCUGUUCGCCCAUUAAAGCGGCACGCGAGCUGGGUUCAGAACGUCGUGAGACAGUUCGGUCCCUAUCCGUCGCGGGCGUAGGAAAUUUGAGAGGAUCUGCUCCUAGUACGAGAGGACCAGAGUGGACUUACCGCUGGUGUACCAGUUGUCUUGCCAAAGGCAUCGCUGGGUAGCUAUGUAGGGAAGGGAUAAACGCUGAAAGCAUCUAAGUGUGAAACCCACCUCAAGAUGAGAUUUCCCAUGAUUAU